AGAGCCAGCGCGUGCCAGACUAUCGUUAUUUUAAAAAAGCUGAAAGUUUUUCUGCAUAUUGUUCCCAACACAGGGUGGAACGGCCAGCGACUAUGAAGUUUGGAUCAUGGUGGCUUUAGGAGAAAUUAAAAGUUAA